rnacentral:sRNA from 2 species
CAUUAAUGAAUUAUGAAAGGGGUUGUCGCUGGCUGUUAGCAGCAUGUGCACGCUCUGAUCAUUAUCCAUCUUACACACCUGUGCACACACUGUAAGUCGGCUUUUGAUGCAAAGUAAGGGUCUUCAUUGACUCUGCUUCAAAUUGGGAGCCUUCUUAUGUUUUAUCACACACUACUUCAGUUUAAAGAAUGUCAAAUCGCGUUUAACGCAUUUAAAUACAACUUUCAGCAACGGAUCUCUUGGCUCUCGCAUCGAUGAAGAACGCAGCGAAAUGCGAUAAGUAAUGUGAAUUGCAGAAUUCAGUGAAUCAUCGAAUCUUUGAACGCACCUUGCGCUCCUUGGUAUUCCGAGGAGCAUGCCUGUUUGAGUGUCAUGGAAUCAUCAACUCUAUUUACUUUUGUGAAUAGGGCUUGGACUUGGAGGUUUUGCCGGUACUUGUGAUCGGCUCCUCUUGAAUGCAUUAGCUUGAACCUUUGUGGAUCAGCUUAUCGGUGUGAUAAUUGUCUACGCCGUUACUGUGAAGCAUAUAUUAAAGGGCUCGGCUUCUAAUCGUCCUUUACGGGACAAUAACUUUGACCUUUGACCUCAAAUCAGGUAGGAUUACCCGCUGAACUUAAGCAUAUCAAUAAGCGGAGGAAAAGAAACUAACAAGGAUUCCCCUAGUAACUGCGAGUGAAGCGGGAAAAGCUCAAAUUUAAAAUCUGGCGGUCUUAUGGCCGUCCGAAUUGUAGUCUGGAGAAGUGCUUUCCGCGCUGGACCGUGUACAAGUCUCUUGGAACAGAGCGUCAUAGAGGGUGAGAAUCCCGUCUUUGACACGGACUACCAGUGCUUUGUGAUGCGCUCUC